ACUCAAAUGAAUAGACGGGGACCCGCACAAGCGGUGGAGCAUGUGGUUUAAUUCGAGGCAACGCGAAGAACCUUACCAGCCCUUGACAUGUCUAGUGUGAUCGUCAGAGAUGACUUUCUUCACCUCGGGUGGCUAGAACACAGGUGCUGCAUGGCUGUCGUCAGCUCGUGUCGUGAGAUGUUGGGUUAAGUCCCGCAACGAGCGCAACCCUCACUCUCUGUUGCCAUCAGGUUAUGCUGGGCACUCUGAGAGAACUGCCGGUGACAAGCCGGAGGAAGGCGGGGAUGACGUCAAGUCUUCAUGGCCCUUAUGGGCUGGGCUACACACGUGCUACAAUGGCGGCGACAAUGGGACGCUACCCCGCGAGGGGACGCUAAUCUCCAAACGCCGCCUCAGUUCGGAUUGCACUCUGCAACUCGAGUGCAUGAAGCUGGAAUCGCUAGUAAUCGCGGAUCAGCACGCCGCGGUGAAUACGUUCCCGGGUCUUGCACACACCGCCCGU
rnacentral:rRNA from 1 species